UCAAUUUUGAUAUGAUUACAAUUAAGUAUUUACAAUAAGUAUUUAUAUUAUAAAUCCUUGGAAUAAAAGCAGUGGGGUCAAAUGGGCCUCACUGCUCUAUGAUCCCUUUCUGUUCUAACACUAUGUUUGAGGUCAUCUUGCAGAGUAACUGGAAGACAUUUUGCAAGUUUCAGGGCCUGUCCUUUCACUCACUGCAUAAAUCCCUCUUUUGUCUCCCUGACAAUCAUUAACUUGACUUCUGAUGAAAAUUUUCUAGUGAUAGGAAACUUGCUUCCUCAAAAUGUAGCGCACGUUAAUUUGGGACGUUUCUGAUUGCUAGAAUGUUAUUUUCUUAGAGCAGCCUAAAAUUUGCCUACUGAUAACUUCCAUCUGUUCUUUUUAAAAUAUUUUGUUAUAAAAAUACACACAAGAAGGCCGGCCCCGUGGCCGAGUGGUUAAGUUCCCGUGCUCCACUUCGGCGGCCCAGGGUUUCGCUGGUUUGGAUCCUGGGCACGGACCUAGCACUGCUUGUCAGGCCAUGUUGAGGUGACGUCCCACAUAGUUCAAUGGGAGGGAUCUAUGGCUAGAGUAUAAACUAUGCACUGCGGGGCUUCAGGGAGAAGAAGAAAGAAAAAAAUAAAAAAGAUUGGCAACAAAUGUUAGCUCAGGUGCCAAUCUCAAAAAAAACAAAAACCAAUCACAUAGUGCUUAUUAUGUGCCAGGCAUUGUUCUAUGAGCUUUACAAAUAAUAACUAAUUUUAUCCUCAUAACAUCUCUAUGACAUAGGUUCUAUUAUUAUCCCCUUUUUACUAAUGAGAAAACUGAAACAUAGAGAAAUGAAGUACCUUGCCCAAGGUCAUAUAGCUGGUAAGUGACAGAGGCCAACAGAAGACUCAAGGGUUAAUUCCUUGGGGAAAUUUCCUCUCUGCCACUGUUGGUGAUCUCUGUGGAAAGGGUUGUCACCCACCUCCUACUCUAGGAGCUGAUGGAGUCUCCCGCACAUGCUACAGCCAGGGAGCUGGCCCACGACCUGAUCAUGGUUUAUCGGGUGUUGAUGGGUAGCACAAGGAAGGGGGAAGAGUCGGGAGUCAUUUAUCACAGUGGCUGUGUCCGGAUGGAGCUCUCUGGGCUAGUAGUCUGUUGCUGUGCUUUCUGCUUCUGGUUUCUUGCCCCAUUGUCCCCAAGCUCCCUUGGUCCUGCCCAUCCCCCGACCUGGUCAUGAUUCUGUGAGCCAACCCCGUAUCCUUCUAAUAAGUUAAUGGAUACUUAAGUGGGGAAUACAGGGACAUUCAGGGCCUUUUAAUGGGCACUAAACCCUCUGUGGGAUCUACAGAGAUUUAAGAUUUCCCUUAAGUGUCCCACAUGAGGUAGAAGGGCCGAGAUGGGUUGUUACCACAAGCCCACAAUUUCCGCCUUAGGAAAAGUAAUCUUUCUCUCCCCUUUGUCCCCCACUCCUCCCGUCUUGGAAUAAGUGCCAGAUCAGGCUUACAGAAACUUUGCUUUAAGGUACAAUCAACCCCUCUGUCAUCUGAAGCCCCAGCUUAGGGCACUAAUUGUCUAAAAUCAUUUAGAUAAUUGAAGAAUCCCACUUCCGGCAGAGGGCUGAAAGUGGUGUAUGAGAUAAGGGGAAAAGGCUUGUGAAAUCUGUGACUGGCCCCUUGUGGUCCUGAAAUUACCAUUUCGUUACAAUAAAAGAUGAUAAAAGUACAAACAGAUCCAGAAAGAGAGGCAGCCCUGAGUUAGCAGACUCUGAAACAAGAAUGCCCAGAGGCAGCCUGUCUGCAUCCUUUAGUUUACUGCCCAGGCCAUGGAACUACCCCAAGCCCAGAUCCAGAGAGCUCAGGAGCAUUUUCUUUUGGGGAGAGAAUUGAUUCACUUCUGAAAUUUUUUUCUGUUCAUAUUAGGGGUGAGAAGAAACAAAGUAGACUGACGAGAAGAGCAAACUCCUCUAUGGCCUUCUCAGCUUGCACUCUGAUGAGCAAGCUGUCACAUGGGAGAAGCCCUUGGUUCAACAACAGAAAGGGCCCCACAAAAUUUGGAUUCAACCCCAACCCUUACCGCAGAGGGCAGCUUCCUACUUCCAAACGUGGACGGAGUGGGGAAAGGUUUCAGAAGCGAAGGGGAGGCGAUUCCAGGGGGCUGAGGGCAAAGGGGUAAACGGACCAGUGAAAGGGAGAAACAGAAAAUUAGGGGCCAGG
ensembl:lncRNA